rnacentral:sRNA from 1 species
UUAUAUGCACGCGCGUUAAGGAUUGAAGAGAAAAUCCUUUUGCUUUUUUGCAAAAGAUUGUAACGAAAAGCCUGACCCGAA